AUAACUGGCAGGUUGACAUGAAACUGCAACUGCCCUAUAUGGUUCUAACUCAGUGAAGUGAUCAGCUUCCUGUUAGCACCAAAAUUUGACAUGAACAGUGAUAUCCUGCCUGGUGUUGUGAGGGAUUAUUGGAAUCUUUUGGUAGAAAUGACAAGAGGCUGCAUCUGCCCUAUGGUUCCAUCUCAGGGAAGUGAUUUGUUUCCUGAUAGCAUUAAAUUUGAUAUGGGAAGUGAUCAUGGUGUUGUGAGGAAUUACGUAAAGCUUUUGGUUUGGAGAUGAUGAUGAUGCAUGCUUUAUGCCCCAACCAACAUGCAACAGUUAUGUAGAAUCCUGUAUAAGUGAUCUCUCUAA